GGUUGCAGUUCAGUGGUAGAGCACUUGUCUAGCAUGUACAAGGCACUGGGUUCAAUACCCAGCAGCAAAUA
rnacentral:tRNA from 1 species